rnacentral:rRNA from 1 species
CCUACGGGAGGCAGCAGUGAGGAAUAUUGGUCAAUGGACGAGAGUCUGAACCAGCCAAGUAGCGUGAAGGAUGACUGCCCUAUGGGUUGUAAACUUCUUUUAUAAAGGAAUAAAACGAGGCACGUGUGCCUUUUUGCAUGUACUUUAUGAAUAAGGAUCGGCUAACUCCGUGCCAGCAGCCGCGGUAAUACGGAGGAUCCGAGCGUUAUCCGGAUUUAUUUGGUUUAAAGGGAGCGUAGAUGGGUUGGUAAGUCAGUUGUGAAAGUUUGCGGCUCAACCGUAAGAUUGCAAUUGAUACUGGCAGUCUUGAGUAAAGUAGAGGUAGGCGGAAUUCGUGGUGAAGCGGUGAAAUGCUUAGAUAUAACGAAGAACCCCGAUGGCGAAGGCAGCUUACUAAACUGUGACUGACAUUGAUGCUCGAAAGUGUGGGUAUCAAACAGGAUUAGAUACCCCAGUAGUC